rnacentral:rRNA from 1 species
UACGUAGGUGGCAAGCGUUGUCCGGAUUUACUGGGCGUAAAGAGCGCGCAGGCGGUCGUUCAAGUCGCGUGUGAAAGCCCCCGGCUCAACUGGGGAGGGUCACGCGAUACUGAUCGACUGGAAGGCAGGAGAGGGGAGUGGAAUUCCCGGUGUAGUGGUGAAAUGCGUAGAUAUCGGGAGGAACACCAGUGGCGAAGGCGACUACCUGGCCUGUUCUUGACGCUGAGGCGCGAAAGCUAGGGGAGCAAACGGG